rnacentral:rRNA from 1 species
CAAGAGCGUAUAUUAAAGUUGCUGCGGUUAAAAAGCUCGUAGUUGGAUUUCAGUCUAGGAAGGUUAACUCGCCGAAAGGUUGUACGUUGAUUUUCCUCAGACUUCGUCAGAAGCUCGUGCUGCACUUAACUGUGUGGUACGAUGUUCUGACCUUUUACCUUGAGGAAAGUAGAGUGUUUCAGGCAGGCUACCCAGCUUGAAUACAUUAGCAUGGAAUAAUGAAAUGGAUCUCGGUUCGAUUUCGUUGGUUCUAGAGCUGAGGUGAUGAUCAAUAGGAACAGGUGAAGGUAUUCGUACUUGAGAGUGAGGAGUGAAAUCCGAUGAUCUCUUAAAGACGAUCCGAGGCGAAAGCAUUUGUCAAGGAUGUUUUCAUUGA